UAAGGAAUAUUGGUCAAUGGACGCAAGUCUGAACCAGCCAUGCCGCGUGAAGGAUGAAGGUCCUCUGGAUUGUAAACUUCUUUUAUCUGGGACGAAAACGGGAUUUUUAUCUCAAUUGACGGUACCAGAGGAAUAAGCACCGGCUAACUCCGUGCCAGCAGCCGCGGUAAUACGGAGGGGGCGAGCGUUAUCCGGAUUUACUGGGUUUAAAGGGUGCGUAGGUGGGCUUAUAAGUCAGUGGUGAAAUCUCCGAGCUUAACUUGGAAACUGCCGUUGAUACUAUAGGUCUUGAAUUAUCUGGAGGUAAGCGGAAUAUGUCAUGUAGCGGUGAAAUGCUUAGAUAUGACAUAGAACACCAAUUGCGAAGGCAGCUUACUACAUAUAAAUUGACGCUGAGGCACGAAAGCGUGGGGAUCAAACA
rnacentral:rRNA from 1 species